rnacentral:rRNA from 1 species
UACGUAGGGCGCAAGCGUUUGUCCGGAAUUAUUGGGCGUAAAGAGCUCGUAGGUGGCUUGUCACGUCGGGUGUGAAAGCUUGGGGCUUAACUCCAGGUCUGCAUUCGAUACGGGCUGGCUAGAGGUAGGUAGGGGGAGAACGGAAUUCCUGGUGUAGCGGUGAAAUGCGCAGAUAUCAGGAGGAACACCGGUGGCGAAGGCGGUUCUCUGGGCCUUACCUGACGCUGAGGAGCGAAAGCGUGGGGAGCGAACAGG